rnacentral:rRNA from 1 species
UACGUAGGGUGCGAGCGUUAAUCGGAAUUACUGGGCGUAAAGCGUGCGCAGGCGGGUCGUCAAGUUUGAUGUGAAAGCCCCGGGCUCAACCUGGGAAUGGCAUGGGAAACUGGCGAGCUGGAGUGGGGUAGAGGGAGGUGGAAUUCCGCGUGUAGCAGUGAAAAGCGUAGAGAUGCGGAGGAACACCGGUGGCGAAGGCAGCCCCCUGGGCCGUCACUGACGCUCAGGCACGAAAGCGUGGGGAGCAAACAGG